rnacentral:lncRNA from 1 species
GAUGGCGUCACAGCUUGAGUGAUGGAGAGAUGCCCAGCAAGGGGCAGGGGAUUUAGCUUAGUGGUUCCACCGCCUGCCUCGCAAACACAAGGUCCCAAGUUCGAUCCCCGUACCAAAAAAAAAAAAAAAAAAAAAUGCCCAGCAACACGCAACAGAACGAAACUAAAAACAACAACUGUCCAGGCUGGGCGUAGGGGCGCACGCCUAGGACUCCAGCCCUCGGGAGGCUGAGGCGGGAGGAUCACUGCGAGUUCAAGAUCGGCCUGGGCUAGGCAGCGAGACCCUGUCUCAAAACAAAAAGGAAUGAGUGGCAUCGUCCUCUCCCUGGACUUUGGGGUGGGACUCGGAACUCCUCCGGAAGGAAGAUGAAAAGCGUGGUCUCUGCCAGGGAGGAAGGGGUGAUGCUCCGUGCGCAGAUUAGAGAGUCAAACAGUCUGUUUGACUAAGAUGGUAGAUCCUGGAUGGUGCAGCGCCAGGAGACAGCUACGGCUGGCCUCAAACUCCUGGGCUCAAGUGACCUUCCUGCUUCAGCCUCCUGAGGAGCUGGGACUACAGAUGCAUCCCCCUCGCCCAGUGGAUUG